AUGGCAGAGGGAGAUAAUCGCAGUACCAUUUUGCUGGCUGCAGAGACAACAAAUCUGGAAGAGCAGCUGCAAGGAUGGGGAGAAGUGAUGCUGAUGGUUGAUAAAGUCCUCCGAUGGGGAAGAGCCAGGUUUCCACCUGCAAUUAUGGGUGUGGUUUUUUUGAUGUUUCUGAUUAUCUACUAUCUAAGUCUGUCUGUUCUGUCUGGUGUUUCCUGUUUUGUAAUGGUUUUGUGCUUGGCUGACUACCUUGUUCCCAUCCUGGUGCCUAGAAUUUUUGGCUCCAGUAAACGGACCACUGAAAAACUGCAAAGAUUCCAUGAAAUUUGCAGCAAUCUAGUAAAAACAUGAUGCAGAACUGUGGACUGGUGGAAACACCUCUUCACAUUAAAGGAAGAAAAACCUAAGAUGUACUUCAUGAUCAUGAUCAUUUUUCUUGCUGCGGUUGCUUGGGUGGGACAGCAAGUCCACAACCUGCUUCUACCUACCUGAUAGUGACUUUCUUACUGUUGCUUCCUGGACUAAACCAACAUGGAAUGAUUUUGAAGUACAUUGGAAUGGCCAAAAGGGAGAUAUACCCAAGUUUCUCAAAUAAAAAGAAAAGAAAAAUGAGUAA